rnacentral:rRNA from 1 species
AACGAACGCUGGCGGCAUGCCUAACACAUGCAAGUCGAACGAGAUCUUCGGGUCUAGUGGCGCACGGGUGCGUAACGCGUGGGAAUCUGCCCUUUGGUUCGGAAUAACAGUUGGAAACGACUGCCAAUACCGGAUGAUGACGAAAGUCCAAAGAUUUAUCGCCAGAGGAUGAGCCCGCGUAGGAUUAGCUAGUUGGUGUGGUAAAGGCGCGCCAAGGCGACGAUCCUUAGCUGGUCAGAGAGGAUGAUCAGCCACACUGGGACUGAGACACGGCCCAGACUCCUACGGGAGGCAGCAGUGGGGAAUAUUGGACAAUGGGCGAAAGCCUGAUCCAGCAAUGCCGCGUGAGUGAUGAAGGCCUUAGGGUUGUAAAGCUCUUUUACCCGGGAUGAUAAUGACAGUACCGGGAGAAUAAGCUCCGGCUAACUCCGUGCCAGCCGCCGCCGUAA